rnacentral:lncRNA from 1 species
AUGUGCAGUCGUGUUUUUUGAUAUUCUUGUUAUUUUGUAAUCGAGUACCUUUUUAAAGGUCUAAUGGCUCUGUUCAGCUGUUGUGUGCAGACGGUAGAAAAGUUCAACAAGUAAACUGUUAUUUAGUCCAAAUUAAAUACUCAUAUUUCUAUGUAAAAUGUCACAUUAUUUUAUAAAUAAAUAAGUAAGAAA